AGAGUUUGAUCAUGGCUCAGGAUGAACGCUAGCGGCGCGCUUAACACAUGCAAGUCGUGCGAUCGGCUUAUUCAAUCUUCCUUCGGGAAGAGCGAAUAAGUACGGAGCGGCGGACGGGUGAGUAACACGUAGCUAACCUGCCUUCGGGCGGGGGAUAGCAUCGGGAAACCGUUGUUAAUACCCCAUGACACCAACGCAACACAAGUUACGUUGGUCAAAGUCCAGCACUCAAUUGGGCACUACAUCCGAAAGAGGGAGAAGCAGUUGUUUGUUCUAAAUUAUGAACAAGCUUUUCCAGUAUAUGGAUGUAGGAUCCAAUUGAGUGAUGGAUACCUGAAGAUGGGGCUGCGUCCUAUUAGCUAGACGGUGAGGUAAAGGCUCACCGUGGCCAAGAUAGGUAGGGGGCCUGAGAGGGCGAUCCCUCACACUGGAACUGAGACACGGUCCAGACUCCUACGGGAGGCUGCAGUGGGGAAUCUUGCGCAAUGGUCGAAAGGCUGACGCAGCGACGCCGCGUGGAGGACGAAGGCCUUCGGGUUGUAAACUCCUUUUCUGGGGGACGAAUAAGGUAAGUAGGUAAUGGCUUACCGAUGACGGUACCCCAGGAACAAGCGCCGGCUAACUUCGUGCCAGCAGCCGCGGUAAGACGAAGGGCGCAAGCGUUAUCCGGAAUCACUGGGCGUAAAGGGUGUCUAGGCGGUCGGUCAAGUCGACCGUGAAGGUCCUCGGCUAAACUGAGGAAAGUCGGCCGAAACUGAUCGACUCGAGGAACGUAGAGGGAAGCGGAACUCUCGGAGUAGCGGUGAAAUGCGUAGAGACCGAGAGGUACCCCGAUGGUGAAGACAGCUUCCUGGGCGUUUCCUGACGCUGAAGCACUAAGGCCAGGGGAGCGAAGGGGAUUAGAUACCCCCGUAGUCCUGGCUUCAAACGAUGUGGGCUUGGUGUCGGCCCCCGACAGAGGGUCGUUGCCGGAGCUAACGUGUUAAGCCCACCGCCUGGGGAUUACGUCCGCAAGGAUGAAACUCAAGGGAAUUGACGGGGGCCCACACAACCGGUGGAGCACGUGGUUUAAUUCGAUGAUAAGCGAAGAACCUUACCAGGGCUUGACCUAGCGGUAGUAGGAUCCUGAAAGGGAAACGACCUCAAGCUUUGCUUGAGGAGCCGUGGCAGGUAUUGCAUGGCUGUCGUCAGCUCGUGUCGUGGGACGUUGGGUUAAGUCCCGUAACGAGCGCAACCCCUGCCCUUAAUUGCCAGCGGGUAAUGCCGGGUACUAUAAGGGGACUGCCGGAGAAUAUCCGGAGGAAGGAGGGGAUGACGUCAAGUCAUUAUGAUCCUUAUGCUCUGGGCGACACACGUGCUACAAUGGGCACUACAAUGAGGAGCAAGUCCGCAAGGACGAGCAAAUCUCAAAAAGGUGCCCCCAGUGCGGAUUGGGGUCUGCAACCCGACCCCAUGAAGAUGGAAUCGGUAGUAAUCGCGGGUCAGCCAUACCGCGGUGAAUAUGUACUUGGGCCUUGUACACACCGCCCGU
rnacentral:rRNA from 1 species